rnacentral:lncRNA from 1 species
AGCUUGUCUAUCUGUGCUCUCCUUAUUCAGGUCCUCUUUGGGCAGCCACAUUGAUGAACCUGAAGUGGUGAUACAAAAGGUGGAUUUUUAUGAGAACUGUCUACUUCAAUACAGCAGUUGGGGUUUUUUUUAACUUCACACAUUAGACCUUCAAAGUCCAAAGAAGAGUCAUUAUCUUCAGCGAGAGGCAGUCUCAAUCAGGACAGUGUUCCAGGAGAUAUCAUCUCAGGUGAAGGCAAUUGUCUUUCUGCAAGAUUCUGUAUCCUGGAGCAAGAACAAGAAUCUCCUGAGAAUGUCUGCUCAGACAAAGGAGGCUUCAGUAGGCAACACUUGUAGAUACAGAACUAAAGUGGAGAUGAUCAUGGGAACUGGAGUGCAGAGAAUUCUCUGGAAGGAACAUCCUUGCUUGUCCUCUGGAUGGUGACCUAAUGUCCUCAAUUCAUUUUGAGGUUUUGUGAAACUCGUUUCAUGGGUCCCCAAAUUUAUGAGGAUUUGUAAGUAUUAUAAAUGGUUACUUAUAAAUUUUAUGAGUCUUCACAAGGUCAAAAGGUACCUAGGAUCUUUUUAUUAACUAAUUUGAUUUGUUAUUUGUGAUUUCUUUUUCUGUUUUAGGUUUUUUGAGACUGGCUUCCUCUGUGUAACAGCCCUGGAUAUUCUGGAACUCACUUUGUAGACAAGGCUGGACUUGAACUCAUAGAGAUCCAUCUGCUUCUGCCCUCUGAGUGCUGGGAUAAAAGGCAUGUACCACCACACCUGGAACACUUUUAUUUUCUCAUCAAUAGAUUUAUUCAGGGGUCAUCCAUAAGUCUCCCCUAUCCCACAUGAGUGGUGCAGAAGAUGUGCCUUAAAGCCAAUGAAUGUUGGGUAGUUUCACCCAUCCAUGGGAUGUCCCAGGAUCUAUAGUGCUCCUGAGUGUGAUAACUUAGGAGGAAAUGUAAUCUGAACUCACUCAGGAAUACUAAUCUAACCAGUGCUUCCUAAGUUAUAGAGUUGAAAACUUCAAAUACUCCAAAGGGUGCUGACAGCCAAGCCAAAUAAACACCAGCGAGUCAAGAAAGUGCCUGCA